rnacentral:lncRNA from 1 species
CUCUUCUUUCUUAAGCAUGAAUGCCACUACAGUUUUUUUUUCACGAGAUCUGCACUUUAAGGAAUUUAGCUUUUAUAUAACACAUAGUGAAUGAGCGUAUGUACUUCUCUGUGGCUACCCAUAAGGUAAUACAUUGUCACUUUUCAACAGGAUUGCAGAGUGGCUUUGCUAAAAUUGUUUCUUUCAGUGGCACUCAGGAAAGAUCACAACAGUUGUGGAGUUACUACAUAAAGAGGCUUCUACUCCCCAAGGGAGGAGGAACCAGCUAAAUCUAAGAACGGCACAAAAUUAACUCACAAAGAAGAAUUAAAAACAGAAGAUGUUUACCUACGUUAACGAACCUGCACAUCCUGCAUGUGUAUCCUGGAACUUAAAAAAAAAUCAAAACUUUUAAAAAGGAAUAAAAAAACAGGUAAGAAAAUCUAAAACUAAGAGAUAGUCCUAAACCUAACAAUAAAAGAAUUUACAUCCAAGUUGAAAUAGAGCUGGUAGGACACUCUUGGAAGUGGAUCUCAAAAUAAGUAUAACAAAAAUUCUUAAAAAGAUAUAUAAGUAAAUAAUACCCAUGAAAAAAGAAUGCAAUUAUGCAACAAAGUAAAAAUAAAAAAAACUUCUUUGCUUUCUAUGAGGAAUUAUAGAUAGAUACAAGGAAUUGUUCCAAAAUAGAGCCAGGUACAUAAAUAGAAGUUACAGGACCUAGAGAACAGAAUGGGAAGCUCUAACAGAGGACUAAAAGAAGGUGCAGAAGGGAAAAAAAAUAGAAAGAAAGGCAAAUUGUCCAUGUACAAAUGUAAAAUGGCUCAGAAUUUUCAGAAAUAAUGAUACGAAACUCUCUCUCUCUCUCUCUGUCUCUCUCUCCAUCAAACAUUGGAAAAGGACCUUUCGUUUCACACACAGAUGAAAUAUUUUAAAAAAAGCAGAAGUAAGCAACAAGGUUAAAUUUUUUUUUGACACCCAUCUCCUAUUUUGAUGCUUUCACUAAGGUAAUUUAUCAUUCAAGCUGAUGACUGGUUGGUAACUGUUGUAGCACUCUACCUGCAGGCAUCUGUCCUACUCAUUACUGAGCCUUCCGAAUUCUUUUGUAUUUUCCCACAUUGUUCAUUAAAACCAAUCGCUGCUCUCUAAAUGGGUUCAUGUUUAAUAAUAGUAAUAAGUCUUAGCACACCAUAUAAAUUUCAAAUAUUAAGAGUAGAAAUAUAUUUUCAGAGAGUAGUUGAAUUUUCACAGAAUUUAAAUUUUCUAUUCAGUUUAUAAUGCUUCUUUAAUUCUUAUAAAUGAACAAGAUUGUUAACAAUUCAAGAGAAAGCCAGGCAAAGAUAGGAACACAGAGUUCAGAAAGAAAUACAAGGAACCACUACAUACAUUAAAAGAAAC